GAUGAACGCUGGCGGCAUGCCUAAUACAUGCAAGUCGAACGAGAGGAAGGAAAGCUUGCUUUUCUGAAUCUAGUGGCGAACGGGUGAGUAACACGUAGGUAACCUGCCCAUGUGCCCGGGAUAACUUCUGGAAACGGAUGCUAAAACCGGAUAGGUAGCAGACAAGCAUUUGACUGCUAUUAAAGUGGCUAAGGCCAUGAACAUGGAUGGACCUGCGGUGCAUUAUCUAGUUGGUGAGGUAACGGCCCACCAAGGCGACGAUGCAUAGCCGGCCUGAGAGGGCGGACGGCCACAUUGGGACUGAGACACGGCCCAAACUCCUACGGGAGGCAGCAGUAGGGAAUUUUCGUCAAUGGGGGGAACCCUGAACGAGCAAUGCCGCGUGAGUGAGGAAGGUCUUCGGAUCGUAAAGCUCUGUUGUAAGAGAAAAACGACAUUCAUAGGGAAUGAUGAGUGAGUGAUGUAUCUUACCAGAAAGUCACGGCUAACUACGUGCCAGCAGCCGCAGUAA
rnacentral:rRNA from 1 species